ACCUGCCUGUCUGGACAGUUGAGCAGGCCCUGCUCUGCCCCUGUGGCUCCUGCAGACAGCAUUGGUUCCUCUCUUCCUGGGUUACAAGCGCCUGCCUGGCCCUCCGCUUGGAUACUGAUGUUCUCCUAGCUCUUGGCUGUCUCUCUGGCGUCUCACCAGCUGGGCUUCUCUGCCUAAUUCUGAAUGGUUGACACCUCUAUAUCACCCAGACACAGUGCCAGGAACCUGCAGGGACUAUGAAGACAAGGGCAAUGAUCUAGAG
rnacentral:lncRNA from 10 species